GGGAAAAAUUAUUUUCGCUAACUUUAAGACUCCAGAGACACUUUUCUCAGCCAUGACCAGUAAUGUUUUUAAAAGAUUUUGGAAGGAAUAGCUCCUCACUAUACCACCAGUUCGUGAUUUUAAGGGAGGAGACAACCCUCAUACUGUCUUAUGCCCAAUUUCUGCCUCCAAAGAAAGAAGUAAAAUCUAAAAGGCAGAAAUGAAAUCCACAAGCAGACAGCCUGGCCCCACAUCCUGGGCCUGGUAGUUAAAGAUUGACCCAUGACCUAAUCGGUUAUGUUAUCUAUAGAUUACAGACACUGUAUAGAAAAGUACCAUGAAAAUCCCCGACCCUCUCAUGCGGACCCCCUUAGAGUUGUGAGCCCUUAAAGGGACAGGAAUUGCUCACUUGGGGAGCUCGGUUUUUGGAGACAUGAGUCUUGCUGAAGCUCCUGGCUGAAUAAAGCCCUUCCUUCUUUAA
rnacentral:lncRNA from 1 species